rnacentral:rRNA from 1 species
UUUCCGCCCUAUCAACCUUUGAAGGGUAGGAUAGGGCCUUCCAAUGUUUCAACGGGUAACGGAGAAUAGGGUUUCGAUCCGGGAGAAGGGAGCCUGAGAAAACGGCUACCACAUCCAAGGAAAGGCAGCAGGCGCGCAAAUUCCCAAUCCCUGACACGGGGAGGUAGUGACAAUAAAUAAUGAUACCGGGCUCUAUGAGUCUUGUAAUUGGAAUGAGUACAAUCUAAAUCCC